UACGUAGGGUGCGAGCAUUGUCCGGAAUUAUUGGGCGUAAAGAGCUCGUAGGCGGCCUGUCACGUCGGAUGUGAAAGCCCGGGGCUUAACCCCGGGUCUGCAUUCGAUACGGGCAGGCUGGAGUUCGGUAGGGGAGAUCGGAAUUCCUGGUGUAGCGGCGAAAUGCGCAGAUAUCAGGAGGAACACCGGUGGCGAAGGCGGGUCUCUGGGCCGAUAUUGACGCUGAGGAGCGAAAGCGUGGGGAGCGAACAGG
rnacentral:rRNA from 1 species